rnacentral:rRNA from 1 species
AGCUAAUAGAUACCCCGGUAGUCCACGCCCUAAACGAUGUCUACUAGUUGUUGGUGGAGUAAAAUCCAUGAGUAAACGCAGCUAAACGCGUGAAGUAGACCGCCUGGGGAGUACGGUCGCAAGAUUAAAAACUCAAAGGAAUUGACGGGGGCCCGCACAAGCGGUGGAUUAUGUGGAUUAAAUUCGAUGCAACGCGAAAAACCUUACCUGGCCUUGACAUGCCACUAACGAAGCAGAGAUGCAUUAGGUGCCCGUAAGGGAAAGUGGACACAGGUGCUGCAUGGCUGUCGUCAGCUCGUGUCGUGAGAUGUUGGG